UACGUAGGGGGCAAGCGUUGUCCGGAUUUAUUGGGCGUAAAGAGCGUGUAGGCGGUUAGGUAGGUCCGUUGUGAAAACUCGAGGCUCAACCUCGAGACGCCGAUGGAAACCAUCUAACUAGAGUCCGGAAGAGGAGAGUGGAAUUCCUGGUGUAGCGGUGAAAUGCGUAGAUAUCGGGAGGAACACCAGUGGCGAAGGCGGCGACCUGGGCCAAUAUUGACGCUGAGGUGCGAAAGCGUGGGGAGCAAACAGG
rnacentral:rRNA from 1 species